UUCUUCUGCGAGUGAGAUGGUGCAGAAUAUUUUUAGUGAGACAGAAUCUGUGCUGCAAUUUAAGAGAGGUUUAGAGGAAGCUAGUAAAUUCCUUCCUAAAGCUAGUCAACUAGUUGUUGAUUUAGAGAGUAAUGUAUUUGCCGCUGGGCAAAAGGAAGAGGCUCCAUUGGUUAUAGUGAAGGAGGAGAAAAUUGAGAGGGCGAGCUCACCAAAUGGCUCAAGGGGUAGGAAGAAUCACGAACGAGAGGAUUCAGAUUUAGAACAAGGGAGGUGUAGCAAGCAGUCUGCGGUGUAUGAGGAAGAGAGUGAACUAUCUGAAAUGUUCGAUAAGGUAUUGCUUUGGCCUUUGUUGAAAGGUAAACAAGGGUGCUGUGGCCCUGAAGUCAAGCAGGAUGGAGCAAGCCAGAUCCCAAAGCAAGAUGAAAAAUCAAACAGAUCAAAUGGUGGAAAGUCUCGUGCUAAAAAACAGGACAAGAAAAAGGAAACAGUGGAUUUGAGGAGUCUACUGAUUCUCUGCGCACAAGCUGUCUCUGCAAAUGACUUCAGAACUGCUAAUGAGCUCCUGAAACAGGUUAGGGAGCACUCUUCCCCUCUGGGUGAUGGGUCGCAGAGAUUGGCACAUUACUUUGCCAAUGGUCUUGAGGCACGCUUGGCUGGCAGCUGGACUGGAAUGCAAAACUUUUAUACUUCUAUUGCUGCAAGGAGGAUGACUGCUGCUGAUAUGUUGAAAUCUUACAAAACCCAUCUUCAUGCCUGCCCAUUUAAGAAGCUCUCAAUACUAUUUGCAAACAAAAUGAUUUUGCAUGCAGCAGAAAAGGCAACAACUCUUCAUAUUNNNNNNNNNNNGGUUUCCAGUGGCCAAUUCUUAUUCAGCUGCUCUCAAUGAGGUCUGGUGGGCCUCCCAAGCUACGCAUUACAGGGAUAGAGCUGCCCCAACAGGGUUUCCGGC
rnacentral:misc_RNA from 1 species